rnacentral:rRNA from 1 species
UGCCAGCAGCCGCGGUAAUACGAGGGGUGCAAGCGUUAAUCGGAAUUACUGGGCGUAAAGCGUACGCAGGCGGUUUGUUAAGCGAGAUGUGAAAGCCCCGGGCUUAACCUGGGAACUGCAUUUCGAACUGGUCAACUAGAGUCUUGUAGAGGGGGGUAGAAUUUCAGGUGUAGCGGUGAAAUGCGUAGAGAUCUGAAGGAAUACCAGUGGCGAAGGCGGCCCCCUGGACAAAGACUGACGCUCAGAUGCGAAAGCGUGGGGAGCAAACAGGAUUAGAUA